rnacentral:rRNA from 1 species
AACGAACGCUGGCGGCAUGCCUAACACAUGCAAGUCGAACGGGAUCCUGGCUUCGGCCAGGUGAGAGUGGCGGACGGGUGAGUAACGCGUGGGAACCUGCCCAUUGGGUCUGGGAUAACUGCGGGAAACUGCAGCUAAUACCGGAUGUACCCGAGAGGGAAAGAUUUAUCGCCGAUGGAGGGGCCCGCGUCAGAUUAAGUAGUUGGUGAGGUAACGGCUCACCAAGCCUACGAUCUGUAGCUGGUCUGAGAGGAUGAUCAGCCACACUGGGACUGAGAUACGGCCCAGACUCCUACGGGAGGCAGCAGUGGGGAAUAUUGGACAAUGGGGGCAACCCUGAUCCAGCAAUGCCGCGUGAGUGAUGAAGGCCUUAGGGUUGUAAAGCUCUUUACCAGGGACGAUGAUGACGGUA